GCCUAGUUAGCUUUGUUGAUAGUGCAUCUGACUUGAAAGUGGCUGGCUGUGGGUUCAAUUCCCAUGCAGGGCA
rnacentral:tRNA from 1 species